UACGGAGGGUGCAAGCGUUAAUCGGAAUUACUGGGCGUAAAGGGUGCGUAGGUUGUUGAUUAAGUUAUAUGUAAAAUCCCUGGGCUUAACCUGGGCAGGUCAUAUAAUACUGAUUGACUCGAGUAUUGGAGAGGGUAGUGGAAUUUCCGGUGUAGCGGUGAAAUGCGUAGAGAUCGGAAGGAACACCAGUGGCGAAGGCGGCUACCUGGCCAAAUACUGACACUGAGGCACGAAAGCGUGGGGAGCAAAC
rnacentral:rRNA from 1 species